rnacentral:rRNA from 1 species
GACGAACGCUGGCGGCGUGCCUAAUACAUGCAAGUCGAACGCAGUGGGGACGGGUGAGUAACACGUGGGUAACCUCCCCAUCAGAGGGGAUAACACUUGGAAACAGGUGCUAAACUCAUAUUGCUGGAUGGACCCGCGGUGCAUUUGCUAGUUGGUGAGGUAACGGCUCACCAAGGCCACGAUCCAUAGCCGACCUGAUAGGGGGAUCGGCCACACUGGGACGGAGACACGGCCCAGACUCCUACGGGAGGCAGCAGUAGGGAAUAUUCGGCAAUGGACGAAAGUCUGACCGAGCAACGCCGCGUGAGUGAAGAAGGUUUUCGGAUCGUAAAACUCUGUUGUUAGAGAAGCGGUAUCUAACCAGAAAGCCACGGCUAACUACGUGCCAGCAGCCGCGGUAAUUC